CACAGAAGCCUUAAAUAUUGCGUGGUCCGCCUUCCAAGCUCUGAAUGCAAAUCGUGACAUCAACUGUUAAAUUCAUUCAUCUUGUCCCUCUCACUUGUUUUACUUGUACCCUUUCCAUCUCUUUCACUAAUUCUCAACCUCUUCUCUCUUUCCUAUAAAACUUUCUUUUCCCUUCGAGCCAUUUUCUUUUCAUUUCCAGCUCUUAAUCUUGAGGUUUGAGUAUAUAUAUGGUGAUGAAUAUGAUGAUGGGCUUCGGCAGAUUGGUGGUGAGCUUGAAAUCAAAACUAAGGUAUUUGAAGAUGAAGAAACCUGCUUAUUACGAUAAGAUUGAAAAGAGUGAGAGCAUGAGGGUUGAAAUAAGGAGCAGGAAAGCCCGGAAGCUUAUCGAAGAGACCAUGAAGAUUGCCGAUUCACCAAGGACGUCCAAGACUUAUGCGUUUUGAGUUGUUGACUAGUAGUUUUGUAUGAAAUGAAAUGAUCAAACGACUGUGAAGAGCAAAAAGUUUCUUUUCUUAGUUUAAUUUUGAUGUUAAACCAAGCAUUUUCAAUGGAGCUAGGAUGAUGAUGUUGAAAACCUUACCUUAUUAAUUUCUUGCUUGGCUUAUUGUUUUC